rnacentral:rRNA from 1 species
UACGUAGGGUGCAAGCGUUAUCCGGAAUUAUUGGGCGUAAAGAGCUCGUAGGCGGUUUGUCGCGUCUGCUGUGAAAACUGGGGGCUCAACCCCCAGCCUGCAGUGGGUACGGGCAGACUAGAGUGCGGUAGGGGAGACUGGAAUUCCUGGUGUAGCGGUGAAAUGCGCAGAUAUCAGGAGGAACACCGAUGGCGAAGGCAGCUCGCUGGGACGGUACUGACGCUGAGACGCGAAAGCGUGGGGAGCAAACAGG